CACAGCAUUCCGCGUUUUCUUCUGGCUCUGACGCCGCCAGACUUGCACAUGGUAUGCAGACAUACAUGCAUGUAAAACACUCAUACACGUAAAAAUAAAAAGUCUUUGAAAAAUUUAAAAGGGUUAGGUGUGGCAGAGCACUCCAAUCCCAACAUUCGGGAGGCAAAGGCAGAUGGCGUUCAAGGCCAGCCUGUCUACACUGUGAGUUCUAAGAUAGCCAGGGACACAUAGAAAGACCCUGUCCCAAACACAAAACAAACAAAUAAAAUAAUUUUUUUUUUAAAAUCUAAGAAUAAGAAGUUUAAAAGAGUAAUAUAGAGGAAUCAUUAAUAGUACGCCAAGACACGAGGCUUGUUUCCAUCUUUGUUUGGAACAAGGAGAAGACAAAAAGUGGCCGUGAUUCCCCUCAACAGAUGAAAGCCCUCAUAGCAGCAUGUUGGAUGGAAGAGAACACAUUUUUGAAUUCCAGUUCUUCAGACAGCCCGCCACCGGAAGCCCAGCUCUCGUGCUAAAUCCGCGGCCUUGAGCAUGUUCCUGGAAGAGCAGGCAGUGUCAUCACAGGGACGUUUGGAUGAUUCCAUGAUUGGCAGCUGAAGACACAACGAGCUUGCAGGACAAGAAGCAGAACAGGUUCCCUGAAGCAGUGUUUCUCACACUUGUGAAACCAGGGUUUGUGGCCAGAAGUGCACAUCCCGGUGACCCACGAGAGAGGAAGCAGUAGACACAUAUUGGUGAGGUAGUCAGGGGCAUUGCCAAUGAGCGGUGGGCAGCUUGUCAACUGCGUGACUCUCAGAGGCAGUGCGGUAGGCGGCACUAUGGAGAUCACCAAUUCACACCUCCUCAUCCCUCCUCCUACUCCCUGGCUUUGGAAACACUAAGUACUUUGGGAUCUGGAGUCGCCUCCCGCAGCUGCUGAGCUGUGUGGCUGUGCUGUGCCAGUUAUCCCCACCCCCCUAACCCCCCCCCCCAUGGCUAACCCUUGAGGAAUGGUUUUAGUCUCUUCACUCACUGUAGCCCUGGAAAGACAUCUGACCACAAUGCCCAAAUGGGGAAGAUUUCCUUUAACUUCCUCGUAACUUCACAGAAAGGCAAGAAUGUCAGAGAUCCUGGAAAAGGCUCACCCCGUGACCAACCAGCUUGCAGGACAAGAAGCAGAGCGAGUUCCCUCAAGCAGUGUUUCUCACACUUGUGAAACCAGAACUUCUGGUCAGAAAUGCGCAUCCUGGUGACCCAAGGGAGAGGGUGCAGCGUAUGCUCAUGCGCAAGGAUAAAUGUGAGCUUGAAAAAAACGGGACAGGAAUGUCAGAGGCAUGACUUUCCCUUUCCAAAGCAUGCAUUCUGUUUUCUAUUAUUGCUUUUGCAAAGCUGUUUUUGACCUA